GACGAACGCUGGCGGCGUGCUUAACACAUGCAAGUCGAACGGAAAGGCCCUGCUUUUGUGGGGUGCUCGAGUGGCGAACGGGUGAGUAACACGUGAGUAACCUGCCCUUGACUUUGGGAUAACUUCACGGAACUGGGGCUAAUACCGGAUAGGAGCUCCUGCUGCAUGGGGGGGGUUGGAAAGUUUCGGCGGUUGGGGAUGGAUUCGCGGCUUAUCAGCUUGUUGGGGGGGUAGUGGCUUACCAAGGCUUUGAGGGGUAGCCGGCCUGAGAGGGGGACCGGCCACAUGGGGACUGAGAGACGGCCCAGACGCCUACGGGAGGCAGCAGUGGGGAAUAUGGCACAAUGGGCGGAAGCCUGAUGCAGCAACGCCGCGUGCGGGAUGACGGCCUUCGGGUUGUAAACCGCUUUCGCCUGUGACGAAGCGUGAGUGACGGUAAUGGGUAAAGAAGCACCGGCUAACUACGUG
rnacentral:rRNA from 1 species